rnacentral:rRNA from 1 species
CAGGAUGAACGCUAGCUACAGGCUUAACACAUGCAAGUCGAGGGGAAACGACAUCGAAAGCUUGCUUUUGAUGGGCGUCGACCGGCGCACGGGUGAGUAACGCGUAUCCAACCUGCCCACCACUUGGGAAUAACCUUGCGAAAGUAAGACUAAUACCCAAUGACGUCUCUAGAAGACAUCUGAAGGAGAUUAAAGAUUUAUCGGUGAUGGAUGGGGAUGCGUCUGAUUAGCUUGUUGGCGGGGUAACGGCCCACCAAGGCGACGAUCAGUAGGGGUUCUGAGAGGAAGGUCCCCCACAUUGGAACUGAGACACGGUCCAAACUCCUACGGGAGGCAGCAGUGAGGAAUAUUGGUCAAUGGACGAGAGUCUGAACCAGCCAAGUAGCGUGCAGGAUGACGGCCCUAUGGGUUGUAAACUGCUUUUAUAAGGGAAUAAAGUGAGCCUCGUGAGGCUUUUUGCAUGUACCUUAUGAAUAAGGACCGGCUAAUUCCGUGCCAGCAGCCGCGGUAAUACGGAAGGUCCGGGCGUUAUCCGGAUUUAUUGGGUUUAAAGGGAGCGUAGGCCGGAGAUUAAGCGUGUUGUGAAAUGUAGACGCUCAACGUCUGCACUGCAGCGCGAACUGGUUUCCUUGAGUACGCACAAAGUGGGCGGAAUUCGUGGUGUAGCGGUGAAAUGCUUAGAUAUCACGAAGAACUCCGAUUGCGAAGGCAGCUCACUGGAGCGCAACUGACGCUGAAGCUCGAAAGUGCGGGUAUCGAACAGGAUUAGAUACCCUGGUAGUCCGCACGGUAAACGAUGGAUGCCCGCUGUUGGUCUGAAUAGGUCAGCGGCCAAGCGAAAGCAUUAAGCAUCCCACCUGGGGAGUACGCCGGCAACGGUGAAACUCAAAGGAAUUGACGG